rnacentral:misc_RNA from 1 species
AACAUCGCGCACCUGCGGGAACCUGCGGAAGGAUCAUUAACGUGUUCGUUCGGCCGUUCGGGUCGGCCCUGCACCGACGGAGACGUCGUGCUGCGGGCUCCCGGGCGUGCCUUCCAAACCAAACCCCUGUGAACCUUUGGGAGGGUAGAGCCUUCAUCGGCGAAGCCGUCCCCUUUACAAACUCUCGUAUCUCAUAGAAUGACCGCGGACAUCGUCUGCCUAAACACAUAACAACUUUCA